UACGUAGGUGACGAGCGUUAUCCGGAAUACUGGGCGUAAAGCGCACGCAAGCGGUCUGACAAGUCUGGCGUGAAAUUCUCUGGCUUAACCAGGGGGGUGCUGGAAACUGUUGGGCUUGAGGCGAUGAGAGGGUGCAGAUUCCUGGUGUAGCGGUGAAAUGCGCAGAUAUCAGGAAGAACACCGGUGGCGAAGGCGGCUCUCUGGGCCUUACCUGACGCUGAGGAGCGAAAGCGUGGGUAGCGAACAGGA
rnacentral:rRNA from 1 species